AUUGAACGCUGGCGGCAGGCCUAACACAUGCAAGUCGAGCGGAUGAAGGGAGCUUGCUCCUGGAUUCAGCGGCGGACGGGUGAGUAAUGCCUAGGAAUCUGCCUGGUAGUGGGGGAUAACGUCCGGAAACGGGCGCUAAUACCGCAUACGUCCUGAGGGAGAAGGUGGGGGAUCUUCGGACCGCACGCUAGCAGAUGAGCCUAGGUCGGAUUAGCUAGUUGGUGGGGUAAAGGCCUACCAAGGCGACGAUCCGUAACUGGUCUGAGAGGAUGAUCAGUCACACUGGAACUGAGACACGGUCCAGACUCCUACGGGAGGCAGCAGUGGGGAAUAUUGGACAAUGGGCGAAAGCCUGAUCCAGCCAUGCCGCGUGUGUGAAGAAGGUCUUCGGAUUGUAAAGCACUUUAAGUUGGGAGGAAGGGCAGUAAGUUAAUACCUUGCUGUUUUGACGUUACCAACAGAAUAAGCACCGGCUAACUUCGUG
rnacentral:rRNA from 1 species